UGCUUAGACACAUGCUUAGCCGCACACAUAGGAGAGAGAACACUGAUCAUGGGGACACUGACAACAUGCUUAACUUAUUUCAAGACACUUUUAGGACUGAAGGGUGAACUGAUGUGUGACUGAUUCCGAUAGCUCCCAUAGAGAUAGAGUUAAAACCGCGUACGAUUCCAAUUUAAUCGUCGCCAGCAUCCCUUAAGGAUGGAACAGACUGUGGAUAUAUAUUUUUUUAAACCAUAGAAUGGCUGUUAUAGGCAGGUGUACUGGAGAGGACGAGGGCUCCCUGGAAUACAUUAAUUAAUUAAUUUCCUAAACCCUUGAAAAUGGGCCUUGAUUUGGGGCCAAUAAAUAAAUUUGUAACCCGUUCUUUACUAAUUAUGCCGACGUAUUAUGACAUUCCUUAACCAAGCACAAUGAUGAUGCUGUGAGUUCAGAUAAGACAUGGUUCUCCUGCAUUCAUUUGACAGACGCAUGCAUUUUUUAUUUUUUUCUCUGUUUUCUUCUAGAGGUUGACCGCUUAUUAGUAGUAUUAUUGAAAAAGAUGGAUUUAGGAAUUCCAUCCUAUUUCAAAAGGGGGAAGGGAGCGACUUAACAUGUGUUUUAGACAGUGAGAGAGAGAGGAAGAUAAAAGGACAGAAAGAAAAGGUUGUUUUUGACCUAGAAGCUGGCUCGACAAUCUAUGUUGACGCCAGAGUACGCAGAGGAGGGCCAGACAAGUACAGACCAAUAGAUCAGAUAGCAGUAGGUUUAGAAUCAGAAUGUGGACUGUCUCAACUAUGUGCAUUUCAACAACUUGACAUGACCGACAGGAAUGCAAGGACAGCUAAUGACUUAUUAGAGCUUUUGCACCCCAUGAUGUUGUUAAAUGUGCCGCUCACGGUACUUCUUUUGAUUUUGUAUUGUAUUGUAUUGUAUUGUGAUGUAUCAGGCAGGAGAUGUUCAUGAACACUCCGUGAAGGGAGUGAGGACAUUGAUCCUGCAGCCUCCAUGAGGGCUCUCGUGGAGGUUAAGUCGACUGCCUCUCAAGAGGAGCAGUUAAGGUUAACAGGGGGGUCCGGUCUCAUACGGGUUGGUGGUAGCACCUGUUUCACUCCUUCCUCAGUUGGUUUUGGUGGCUCAUGGUGAUUUCCAUGGAGCCAGGGGGAGGUGGUGGAGGCUUUGCAGGCUACCUGGUGGUCUCGAUGCGGGUUACCCACAGUCAACAAUCCUGUGCGAUCAGGCGUAAGUUGCGGAGCACGACAUGAGAAAGUCGCACAUCGCUCCGAUAGGCCAUAUUCCAGCUCCAAGACAGCCAUAGUGUUAUUUGAUUUCAUUGAUAUAAUCAGACCGGUAAGCAAAACAAUAUGUGUUGGUGGUGAUUGACAGAUUCAGCAGAGGGGGGGAAGCCGCCCAGCAGCCAAAGCUGAGGCUAUAACUGGAGCUUAGUUUCUAACCAGAGAAGUAAGUCCAAUAAUCAGUUCUGAUAAGAAGUGCUAAUCUGUUUUUAUCCAAGGUAUUGUUGGAAAAGUGUGUCUUUUAGGUUCCGGCGGAGGAUAUAGAGACUUUCUGCUGUCCUGAUGUCAGUGAGGAGCUCGGUCCACCACUGAGAAGCCGGAACAGCAACCAGUCUUGAUUUUGUCAGGUGGAAGGAGCCACGGAGGAGAAGCACGUCGGACCAGACCCACAGGAGGAGGAGGUCCAUCCGAGGAAGGGGGAUGAGCCACGCCAGACUGGACCCCACCUGAUGGGACUGACCACGCCCACCGCAGUGGAGAGAAACCACACUGGAACCACAUCACACACUGCACCAAUGCAGCAGCACCUGAAGGAAGGCCAGAGGGCAGGAGAGGGCAGGAGACCAUCACGGCAAAGCCCUGCCGGCCACAGAGGAGAGGAGAAGCAAGGCGUGGCCAAUCCACACCAGAACACCAGCAGACGGCUGAGGGAGCUGGAGAGGGGGAUGACCUUCACACUCACAGAAAGGAGAGAACGAUAUGGAGAGCCCAGCUGAAAGAACAAUGCCCGUCUCAUGGAACCCCAAGAAGAAGACGUGGUCCCUAGCAAUAGGAGGUAACAGCCAUUAUCGGACUAACGGUCAGAUUGACCUGCGAUGAGGUUGGUUCAUCAGGGUGGCUCUAGAGAACCCUGCGAUUGUGAUAAAUGUGUUUUAUAACCUAAUAUUGUUGGGGCUUGCAUUUCUUAUCAGGUCUAAUAACCUGAGAAAAACAGCAUAUUCUGCCAUUGACUAGUCGAGUUGCCUUAAGUGACAUUAGUAGAGUGUAACCCUUAUAAAAGGGCAUUUCUGUUUACUUAUGUGAUGUGAUAAUAAUGGAUAACAAGAUAUAAGCAAUAACACCCCAAAGGACCCGACCCCAAAGAAGACCUGCAGCAGCUCAUGCAUUCAUCCACCAGGUGCUAGUAACCUGAUGCAUGAGCGGUUCCUGCUGUACGCAAAGUACAUGAACCAGAAGAGUCACAGGAGCAACAACAUGUUCUGUCUGGUGAGAGACCUCUGUCUCCCAAGGGGGGAAUGUGCUGGUUAAAAUGUUUCAAAUUGUGUGCUUCCACAACAUAUAUACAUAGGGGGUAUUAAACUUUUACAUUGUGUUAUAUUAGGCUUAAAUUACAUCUACAAAGAUGAUUGAGAGGGCACACACAGCUCUCUCCCUCAGACAAGGGUCAACAACGCCAGACAGAGAUAGACCCAGCGGCCUUGUGUUGCUCCAGUCUUAACCGUUAGAGAGGAGACUGGAGAGAGGAGACUGCAGAGAGGACCAGGAGGCUCAGACACAAUAACGAUAAGAGAGACGAGGGGGGAGACGUCAGCAAGAAACCUCCACAUUCCUUAAAGUAACCAGUGUGGACUGAGACAGGGGUCACACUGAGUGACGAGAACUAAUGGAGAGGAUGGGGACGAUGGUGAGCAGAUAAGUAUCAACGGCGACGGAUCCGAGGAAGAAACCGAAUUGGACGCUCCCUUCCUGUACACAUAACUUGCGAAGGUUUGAUCAUAUCCCAUAUAGUACACACAAGCACACACUUAAAGAGGCGGGAGACUGUCCUGAUAGGGAGUUUUUUUCAUACUGUUUUUGUAUUAGCAGACUAUGUGCUCAGAGGAAUAUCCAGUAGAAAGAAGAGGGUUACAAAUACCUGGAGACAACGGUUCUCUAGUACGAGGAAUAUAAAAGAUCCUGGAUAUAAGAGGGUUCAGCUUAGCUUCUUAUGAGAUCUAUCAAGUUUUUGGAUAGCACACUACACCUAUUUCUACUUAUAAUGUUGAGAUUUCCACUCUGUACUGAUAUCACACUACACUUAUUUAGUCUUAUUGUUGUUAGAGAUUUCCACUCUGUACUGAUUUAAUUUCACCUAUUUCUACUUAUAAUGUGCAGAUCUCCACCAUGUCACUGAUCGAGCCAGUUCUUCUAGAUUUAUAUUAAAAUUGAGUUACAUAAUGAAUUAUGUAAAAAUGGGGAUUGUUAAUAUUAAUCUGAUUUAUUGAAGGGACCGUAAUGUCUAGGUUCCGGCAAAACAUCAGAAGAGACGGCACUUUGCCUGUGAGGAGACAGAGAUAUUGUGUCUGCAGCUCAAGGGCAGCUACACGCCUGACCGUAUUCAACAUUCACACUUGUUAUCAAUAUUUACACAUACCAAGAGGGACGCACGGCCAACAGACAGCCCCCACCCGGGGGUAAGAGGGAUGGGAUAUGCUCCUGUGACGAGAUCUGGGGGGAAGGGAUGGAAUCUUGAUGGGCUGGGGAGAAGCGUGGGUUCCUGGGGCUAGACAGGUGUGUUGAGGAGAGCUCCCCGUGUGAUUGCAAUCGCAGGUGAGCAUUUGUACUUUGCUUUUGAUCAGUGAAUAAACGUCUCCCUAAAGGAGAGAACUAUA